rnacentral:rRNA from 1 species
AGUCAACAUGCCCAGGGGACGUGGAUAACCUCGGGAAACUGAGGAUAAACCGCGAUAGGUCAUAAUGUCUGGAAUGAUUUAUGGCUAAAAUCUACAUGGCCCCUGGAUUGGACUGCGGCCGAUCAGGCUGUUGGUGAGGUAAUGGCCCACCAAACCUAAAACCGGUACGGGCUCUGAGAGGAGAAGCCCGGAGAUGGGCACUGAGACAAGGGCCCAGGCCCUAUGGGGCGCAGCAGGCGCGAAAACUCUGCAAUAAGCGAAAGCUUGACAGGGUUAUUCUGAGUGAUUUCCGCUAAGGAGAUCUUUUGGCACCUCUAAAAAUGGUGCAGAAUAAGGGGUGGGCAAGCCUGGUGUCAGCCGCCGCGGUAAUACCAGCACCCCGAGUGGUCGGGACGAUUAUUGGGCCUAAAGCAUCCGUAGCCGGUUCUACAAGUCUUCCGUUAAAUCCACCUGCUUAACAGUUGGGCUGCAGAGGAUACUAUAGAGCUAGGAGGCGGGAGAGGCAAGCGGUACUUAGUGGGUAGGGGUAAAAUCCGUUGAUCCACUGAAGACCACCAGUGGCGAAGGCGGCUUGCCAGAACGCGCUCGACGGUGAGGGAUGAAAGCUGGGGGAGCAAACCGGAUUAGAUACCCGGGUAGUCCCAGCUGUAAACGAUGCAGACUCGGUGAUGAAUAGGCUUCGUGCCUAUUCAGUGCCGCAGGGAAGCCGUUAAGUCUGCCGCCUGGGGAGUACGGUCGCAAGACUGAAACUUAA